UCCGAGAAACUCUAUGGCUCUACGUCUGCUAGCCUCGUUCUCAAAUAUAGAACGAGGCUAGCAGACGUAGAGCCAUAGAGUUUCUCUAUAUUU
rnacentral:pre_miRNA from 1 species